AUUGAACGCUGGCGGCAGGCCUAACACAUGCAAGUCGAACGGUAGCACAGAGGAGCUUGCUCCUUGGGUGACGAGUGGCGGACGGGUGAGUAAUGUCUGGGAAACUGCCCGAUGGAGGGGGAUAACUACUGGAAACGGUAGCUAAUACCGCAUAACGUCGCAAGACCAAAGAGGGGGACCUUCGGGCCUCUUGCCAUCGGAUGUGCCCAGAUGGGAUUAGCUAGUAGGUGGGGUAACGGCUCACCUAGGCGACGAUCCCUAGCUGGUCUGAGAGGAUGACCAGCCACACUGGAACUGAGACACGGUCCAGACUCCUACGGGAGGCAGCAGUGGGGAAUAUUGCACAAUGGGCGCAAGCCUGAUGCAGCCAUGCCGCGUGUAUGAAGAAGGCCUUCGGGUUGUAAAGUACUUUCAGCGAGGAGGAAGGCGUUGUGGUUAAUAACCGCAGCGAUUGACGUUACUCGCAGAAGAAGCACCGGCUAACUCCGUGCCAGCAGCC
rnacentral:rRNA from 1 species